rnacentral:tRNA from 1 species
ACGCACCGGAUUGUGGCUCCGGCAUUCGUGGGUUCGAUUCCCAUCAGUCGCCCCA